CAGUAUUCUGACUGUGCUAAGGUAGCAUAAUCAUUAGUCUUUUAAUUGGAGGCUGGUAUGAAUGACGAGACGAGAAAAUGACUGUCUCUAUAAUAAACUUUGAAUUUCAUUUCUGAGUGAAAAAGCUCAGAUAAUUUUGAAGGACGAUCAGACCCUUUGGAGCUUUAUUUACUUUAAAAAUUUGAAUUUGUUUUAAUUGAUUGAAUGGAAAGUAAAUUUUGUUGGGGCGACAGGGAGUAAAAUAUAACACUCUUUUUUUAAAACAAUCCUAAUUGGAAAAUUGAUCCUUAGAGUGAGAUUAUAAGACUAAGUUACCCUAGGGAUAACAGCGUAAUCUUUUUGGAGAGUUCAAAUCGAUAAAAAGGUUUGCGACCUCGAUGUUGGAUUAAGAGAUUGGCAAGGUGCAGAAGUUUUGCUGGAAAGUCUGUUCGACUUUUAAUCUCUUACAUG
rnacentral:rRNA from 1 species